UGUUGGGCCGACGGGUUCCAACACGGGAGUGACUGAAUUAAACUUGCUGGCAAUAGGCUGGUUAAGGUGAUGAGUCAGAGGUGGUACUCGCUUUCCUUCGGGAUAGAACCAUCCUACCAGAUGGGACUCAUGCAACGCAGUAAAAUUACUAAGAGUAGCAAUGCCCUGCGUUUGUAAGCAUACUCAAAUCUUACCUCCCUCAUA
rnacentral:ncRNA from 1 species